CGCCUGUCAAUCGAGAAGCUGAGACAGGAAGAUCCCUGCGAGUUCGAGGCCAGCCUGGACUGCAAAGUGAGUUCAAGGCCAGCCUCAACUGCAGAGCGAGACCCUGUCUCAAACAAACAAACAAACAAACAAACAAACACAAAAAAUACAAAAAACAAAACAAACGCCUAGCUCAGAAACGUUAUACCAGGCGCUACCAAACAAGGCAGUGGACGCGCCAAGUGGACGCCACUUCCGGUCAUGCGCAUGAGGCCCAUACCACCCACUGGACUUCAUUUCCCAGAAAUCUCUACAGUUUGUUUCAGGCCAAAACUCUUUCUCCUCUAGCUGUCAGUUUAUAAUCUGCUCUGCCCCCUGGACUGUACUUGGUAGAGAAGUUUCCGUUUAUUCUCGCUCCCACAAUCCACUAUCCAUCAUGAUUUUUUGUUGUACAUUUUUCAAUUGCGCGGAAUCCAAGAGAGAGGAACUGAGGGCGGGAAGCGACGUGGCCGCCAAGGAUCCUGGGAACGUUUGCUGUGGCGCAUGUGCAGACGUGUGCUGGCGCUGGGAGGCUGCGGCUGGGUUCCUGUCCUCCUUAUCCUUCAGCUCCAGGCCUAAUGGUGGGACUGUGGCUACCCAACUAGGAAAUUUAAGGCAAUGGGCUCAACUGGAUCCUGGAGUGUCAGAGGUCAAGGGUCCCCAGACUUACUGUAAUGGACAGCAGAAGCUGAACAAUGACCAGAGUAAUCUGACACAUGCAGAUGGUGCUGGCUGAUUAGCUGUGGUCUUCCCAAAAGUGAAGUUGACAGACCUCUCCAUGUGGGCAGAGGAUAUAAGAAUAUUUGUUUCCCACAUAAAUGUUCACCAAAAAGUGACAUUUACAGGACUUUAAUAUUCAAGUAGGUAAGAUGACCCAUUCCAUGGACAGUGGUCAGCCUCCUUCUUCAGCCACCCAAUCAUUGCCCAAUGGGACCAUGAACAGAGUGGCUGUGGUGGCAGGGAAGGAAGUUAUGCAUGGUCUCAGCAACAUGGGCGCCCAGUCACCAAGGCUAAUCUGGCUACAGCCACUGCUGAAUGCCCAGUAUGCCAGUAGCAGACACCAAGACAUUGUUCCCUGGAGUGAUCAACCUGCAACCUGGUGACAGUGGAUUAUAUUGGGUCACUUUCAUCAUGGGAGAGACAGCGCUUUGUUCUCACUGGCAUGGAUACAAAUCCUGCAUAUGGAUUUGCCUUUGCUGCACAUAAGGCUUCUCCUAAAACUACCAUCUGUUGACUCACAGAAUGCCUUAUCCACCAUCAUGGAAUUCCACAUAGCAUUGCCUUUGAGCAAGGAACACAUUCUGCAGCCAGGAGUGAGGCAAGGGGCUCAUGAUCAUGGGAUUCACUGGUCUCAUCAUUCCCUCACCAUCCCAGAGCUGCUGGACUGAUAGAAAGGUGGAAUGGUCUUUUGAAGACACACUUAAGGCACCAGCUAGGUGGCAGUAGCUUGCAGGGCUGGGCUAAGGUACUUGGAAAUGCUGUGUAUGCUUUGAAUCAGCAUCCACCCUAGGGUACUGUGGCUCCUGUAACCAGGAUUCAUGGGUCCAGGAAUCAAGGGGUGGGAGUAGGAAUGGUGCCACUCACCAUCACCCCUAGUGAUCCACUAGCAAAGUUUUUGCUUCCUGUCCCCGUGACUUCAUGUUCUGCUGGCCUAGAAGUUUUGGUUGCAGAGGGGGAAGGCUUAUACCAGGAAACACAAGGAUGAUACCACUGAACUGGAAGCUAAGACCUCCCCCUGGUCAUUCUGGUCUCCUCAUUUCUCCGAGGAAACAAGCUAAACAAGGAGUCACAGUGUGUCAGGGGUGAUUGACCCAGACUACCAAGGGAAAAUUGUACGACUCCUCCACAUUGCAGGAAAAAGAAUAUACAUGGGAUAUAGAAGAUCCUUUGGGGCACCUCUUAGUAUAACCAUGCCCUGUUACUAAAGUCAAUGGGAAACUAGAAUGACCUAAUAUAAGCAGAAUAACAAAAGGCCCAGAGCCUUCAGGGUCACUCCAUCAAAGAACCAAGACCCACUGAGAAGAAGGUAUUUCUAAAUGUCGCUAAGACCCAUGAUCAGCUAUAGAAAAGAGAGUUGUAACUGUACUAUUUCUCCCCUAAUAUGGUUCUGGUUUUAUGUAACAUAAUGUUGAUGGACUGAACACUGGUUUUUAAGGGUUGUUAAGAUGUGUUAUAAUGUUCAAGUUAUAAAAUGAUAAGAAGAAGCAUCAACCAAGGAAAACUCACUUUUUAGUCUGGUGAGGGAAUAAGUACCAUUUCUGUUUGUAUGCAGGACAUUUUUAACAUGUCAGGCAAAAUUGUAAGCAUGUCUCUGUAUCUGGAGGCUCAUGUAAAGCAAUGUGUCUGGCUGCCAAGUUGCCAAGGGGUGGAUAAUAAUGGCUGACACAAUUUUGUCAACUUGAGAAGGUCAGAAGUUUAACUAAGUGAUUCAGCAGGGGGCCAGGGUCCUUAUUUUGUAACAUCCUCAGCCUGUGCAACAGGAGGGUGUUUGGAGCCUUGAAACUGGAAACUGAAUACACGUGCAGGGCUGAGGCAUGGCCUGAGCAUGGCGGACCUGAGAAGCAGGAGACGCCUCAAAGGCAAGAUAAGGUCACAGCUGAGGACACCAGGCCCCAACUCCAAUUAACUAUAAAGACUGUAGCAAAUGCAACAUGGAGAUCUUCUCCUAAAAUACUUCUCCUAAAUUAACAUAAUGUUGUUCUCCUAAAUUAAACAUGAUCUGUCACUUGGAAAAGUCCUUGAAUCCCAAGGUCUGUUCAGUUUCCUAUGUUUUCAAUUCUAACCCCUUCCUUGUUUGAACAACUAAAUAAAUACGGGCUGCCCAGAGACAUUCCUUGUCUUAAGCCCCAGAGUCUUGAACUCUGCAGAGGGUUUUGAUCCUCCUGGAGUAUUGUAAACCCAAAUAAUGAGUUCAGUCAUCCAAGUAAUGUAAUCCUCUUUCUAGUUUUCCUCACAAUCCAGAAACUUACAUUUGUGAUCCCACUGAGACGUUAUUGGAAUUCCAGCAAGUUGAUUCCCAUCUACCACCACCAAUGCAACCCACAGCAAGAGUAAAGACACCAAGACAGACUCCAAGUUAAGGGUGGCCAAGGGGUCCUAAAUCCAAUCCUUGUGAGGACAUGCAAAUAAAGGCCUUGAUCUUAAGCCUUUCCUAGCAUUUAUUAUCUUGUGAAGAAGGGGGGUGGCUCAGGGAUGAGUGAUAGUAAGGAUGGCAGGAAUUAGGUGAGUAAUUUGAACUGGCUGGCCAGGUGCAAGAUUGGCAUUUCUGUAGGAGAUAAAGAUAUGCAGAAGGAUCAAUUUACAUAAUCCAAUUAAGGUAGCAGGGGAAUUGUUUUGGGGGGCUACGCUUGGGUUUCUGAUAGGCAAACUCUUGUGCCCUGGGGAGUCAUACCUUCUUAUCUUGAGGCUCAUACUCAGUUGACCUUCCCAGAGCUGUUUGCUCUAAGGUCUUGAGUGCUCAAUCCUGUACACCGAGAACACUAUGUGAGGAAACAGGACUGUCUGUUGGCUAAAGAUAUUGCAUAUUAGCACCUCCACUAGCCUUAUUUGCAAUGCUUAGAGCCAAUUGGAGAGAGAAGGAAAUACCCUAGCCAGCCUUUUACAUAUCAGAAUAAGGAAAUGAGUCUCCAAAUAAUCAAAGUCACAGUAAUUGUUUUGGGUUUAAAGGGAAUCACUGGAGUUGUCACCCACAUUGGAGCCCUAAAAUCAUACCACCUGUCUCGUUUAUUUGUUUGUUCUUUUUUUUUUUUUUUUUUUUUUUUUUGGUACCGAGGGUUGAACUCAAGACUGUGCUUGCCAGGCAGGUGCUUGUUCCGCUGAGCCAAAUCCCCAGCCCACCUGUCUCAUUUAUUUAAGCCUCUGCCGUACACUUGUUUGGGAGAUUGGAGAUCUAGGCCAGGUCCCUGGUAGGAGGGCAUGAAGAUGGUGUGAGUGCUGUACUCACCUGAGAGGUGCAGCCUGCUCACAAUAAAAGGCAGAUGAGAAGGGACUGAUUGCUGGUUCUCUGAAGGAGCUCCAGUCUCCGCCUUCAGCUCGGACAUUGUCUCUUAGCUUUGGGCACAGAUUGUUCGGCUUCCACUUGGGACUGUUCAGCCUUCCAGCGUAGACUCUUUCUUUGUCUUUUUGAGACAGAGUCUCGCUAUGCAGGUCAGGCUGGUCUUGAGCUCACUUUGUAGCCCAGGUUGGUCUCAAACUUGUACGGAUCCUCUUGCCUCAGCCUCCCAAGUGCUACACCACACCCAUCCGGGCAUAGAUUCUUUGGCGUUCCAUCGCAGACCUAUUGGCCUCCUGAUACGGACUCACACAGGACAGCGCAGUGAGGUCUAGCCCUUGGGCUGUCCCCUUCAGCCUCUACUGUGCAGCCACCCUGAGCACAAUCCCUCAUCCAACUUUGUGGCUGACCAUUGUAAGCCAAUCCUGUAAUUUCUUAUACAUUUGUAUAUCUUGUGUUAUAUCCGUUUCUCUGGUAAACCUUGACUGAUAUAGAGGCUCAGCAGUGGCUAAUCCCCUAAGGGAUGGGAGUCUGCAGGAGGGGUCAGCCUUAGUACUGCAAUCCCGUCCACGGCUGCCAGGAGGCAGCAGAGCACUCUAUGCACCGAGGGGUGUAGUUCCGCCCAUGGUCACUGGGGGCGAUAGGGCUCUCUGCUCUGCUUUGUAGGGCCAGGAUCCCCACUAGGUUUUUCUGGGGGAAGGAGAGAGGUAGUGGGCAUCCAUGGAAGUGAAGAUUUCUUCCCAGAGUCGACUGAGGCACAACUUCUGCUGCACCUGUGCUCUGGGCAUCCCUCUGUCCUGCCUGCAUGGUACUGUUUCUUAUGCCGCUGGCCUGCCGGGCUCCUGGGCCAGCGCUGUCCACUGGGACUGGCGCUUGGUCCCUGCAGCGUGGAUAGAUACUAGGGCGGGAGAUCCAAAGAGAGAUGGAGGGGGCCUUCGAGGGACAUGUGGAUCCAUACCAUGCUGUUAAGUGGUAGCAACCACAAUGAGGCUCGGGAAGGAGCUGCUGAGGAGCAGGGCAGGACAUAGAUCCUGCGAGGGAAAUGUUUAAAAUGAUACCAGAGGUCCCUUGAUGGUCUCAAGCAGCCUCGGAGGCACCUCACCACCUCCCCAUACCCUCACUAGUAGAAACUGCAGCUAACAUGGAUGGAGCCCUUAUUCUGUGCUAGCCUCACGGUCAGAUACAUCAUUAUGUCCACUUUAUAGAUGAAUACACUGAGGCCAGAGGUUAAAUGACUUGUCUGGCUCACACAGGCGGUGGUACAACAGAAUAUGAGCUAAGUGUGCUGACUUGCACCACCUCAGCCCCCUGCACUGCCCUGGCUUCUGGCCCCAGGGUGACAGAGAAGGGUCCAAGACAGGGCUUGAAGCCCAAAUGAUACACUCCUAGCCCGCACAGCUAACCAUUUCUGGGUUGUCUAGGGGCUGUUCUUUCCCCUGCCUCCCUUUCCCUGCUGUCUGUUCUCGGGCAGCCUCCAUCAUCCAGGACUAAGACCGGGGGUGGCUGAGAGUGGUGGCCAGAGCAGAGGCUGGUUCAGAUGGAUGGGUAUGACUGGUGCCAGCCACCAGCCGCCUGACCUGUGCCUGCACCUGGCGACCUGUGGCCUGGCCUUUGGUGCAGACCAAUGGGGGUGACGGGGUGGGGAGGGAGCUGGCUGUGAAACGCAGAUGCCAUCGCCAGCAGGCUGUGGAGCUGCUUUGCCACAGGCUCCUGGUCAGUAGGCACAGGGCUGAGGGGUUCUCCUGUGGAAACCUCCACUCCGCCAGGCAAGGCCUAUUCUAGUUCCACGCGGUUUCCAGCUGCAUCAUCUCACUUAUCUCCACCAUCACCCUGAACUGUCUCUGCCGCCUGUCACACUGUUCCCAUCACCCCCUCAUCUCACUCAACUGAUCAACCGAUUGACUGCAGUACUGGAGACUGAACCCAGGGUCUUUUUUUUGUUUUGUUUUUUUUCCUUUUUAUCGGUACCGGGGAUCAAACUCAUAACUGUCUGCUUGCAAGGCAGGCGCUUAUGCCGCUGAGCUAAAUCCCCAGCCCCGUGAACCCAGGGUCUUUGCACUGAACUCACUGUGUAGCCCAGGCUGGCCUCACACUCAAGGUAAUCCUCCUGCCUUGGCCUCCAGAGUGCUGGGAUUAUAGGUGUGUGCCAUCACGCCUGGCAACCUUUCAUUUCUUGCCUAUUUCAUCUGGUCACUGCUCUCCUAUCUCUUAUCUCCUAUUGUCACUCUCAUCUCUAAGUCUUGUAUAAUAGGAAAAUUAUCCACAAGCAGAAAACUGGAAAGCCUAAAUGUGGAACAAUAUGGAAUUGACUUAUGUCCUGUAUUUAAUACAGGGUUGACGUAAGUUGUGAUGAAUUUAUACCAUGAAAUAAUUCUGAGGCAGCAAAUAUUUGAGCACCAGUCUCUGCCAGGCUCGACUAUGUCAAUGGCAAAAAUUAUUGAUGGUGAGCUAACUUAAACUCACCCCACUGGUCCUCUUCCCAUGGCAGUGAAAUGACGGUGGCAUAGAAGGGAACACAUCCAUGCCAGGGUUUAGAAUGGGUAGGGAGGUGGCAGGGCGGUGCCUCCAGCAGCUACCACAAUGAAGCCCUGGCUCUUCAUACCAAAUAUGGACAAUCAGCGCCCAGCAGGUGUUUGAAAGAAAUUGGCAGUACGAAGGAGCUAGGCCAGGAUCGAGGUGAUCCCAGAAGAACUCAGAGACUAGAAGACUGCAUCCACCGCUGGGUGUGGGUGUGCACACCUCUGAGCCCCGCAGCAACAGCAGUGCCCCGGACUGGCCCGGUUCCUGUUUAUAGAACAGACUGUGGACUUCCAGGAGAACAUGGCGGACAGAGGCAGCAGCUACAGAGGCUCUCUGAAAGACCCAGCUUAGAAUUCAGGAAUGGUGCGGAGUAAGGAAUCAUAAGCAAGGGGAGAUAUGCCCUGCUGACCCAAGAAUGAACUUGACUGAGAGAAACCAACUGGGAAUGCAAUCCUGGUGCUAUAACAGGAACAGUUUUAAAAGCCUCAGUGUGGAAGCUGGAGCCUGCGCCAUUGGAAGCUGCGAUUUGGGUUUCCCGCCGCCGCUGCUGCGUCUACAUCGGCUCUGCAGGGAGAGAGAUGCACGAAAGCUCUGAGAACGGGAAUCGGUGAACAGAGUUGAAAGCAGGACGGGCGGGGAGCUGUGCAUUGACUUGCGGUGAGUGAGAGAAACUGGGACUCUUCCACGGUCUAGGAGACUCCAACAGAGGACAUCCUGGGACCAGGCAGACUUACGGGAACAGGGCACUGCAGUGACUUCAGUCACAUAUUCCCCUCUCAAGCGGGAUUGGUGAGCAGUGCCUAGCCUACAUGACACUGCUGGCUGAGACCCAGUAGGCUAGCACAGCCCAGGUCCCAGCUCCUGAAGGUAGAUUGACCUGGAGGGGUGGGCCACACAUAGGCUGCCUGGUCUGCAACUUCCUGGUACGCUGCGGUGGGCAGGAACACCUAGCUAGCGCAAUUCAAUCAGACUGUGGCCAACAGGGAAGGAGGCUGGGCCUCCUAUAUACGCUUGCAUAUAUAAGGAACAAAGAAUAUGGGAAGAGGCAGCAACAAGAAAGGGUCCUCAGCCCCCAAUCCUGAGAAAGAGGCAAUAGCAGACACAGCACCAAUAGAUAUAAAGCACUAUCUCCAGAGCCUCAUAGACAAGUUCAGGAAUGAAGUUAUUAAUGACUUGAAGCUAGACAUAAGCAGAAUAGUUAGAGAAAUGCUAAGCACCGCCCAAGAAAAAACAGAUGGUGGAAUGGAAGAACAGAAAAAGAGGGGAGAAUUGUUUGAUGGAGAAAAUAGAGAAAGCAUAGAAUAUGUGAAGCAGGUUCAAAGAGAUUAUCAGGAAACUAAAAACUCUAUUGAAAACUGGCAUAACAGCUUGAAAGAAACUAAGGACAGAUUAUCUGAACUGGAGGGCAGAUUUGUAAUAUGGGAGCAUGAAAUGAAAAACUUCUUAAAAAUAACAAAGAAACAGCAAUAAUACAAAGGCUAGAAGAUGAUAAGAGGAUCUAUAACUUAAGAAUUAAGAACAUAAAAGAAGAAGUAGGGACACAAACAAAUGAUCUACAAAAGCUACUCACAGAAAUAAUCCAGGAGAAUUUUCCUAAUUUAGCAAAAGAUAAAGAUACUCAGUUGUAUGAAGCAUACAGGAUCCCAGCCACCUACAACCCAAACAGAGCAACACCCAGGCAUCUAAUAAUUAAAAUUCCAGAAAUCCAAUACAAGAACAGAAUAUUAAAAGUCAUCAGAGACAAGAAACAGAUCACUUACAAGGGAAUACCCAUUAGAAUUACAGCAGAUUUCUCGGCACAAACCAUCAAAUCACGAAGAGCAUGGGGGGAAAUAAUUCAAGCUUUGAAAGAUAAUAACCUCCAGCUAAGAUUGAUAUAUCCUGCACAACUGUCCCUGGAAAUUGAUGGAAAAACAAGGUGCUUCCAGGAUAAAGAAGAACUAGGGGAAUAUGCAACCACCAAUUCAACUCUACAGAGAAUACUGCAGGAUAUUCUAAAAAAGAAAAAUACAAAGAAUUCAGAAAUAGUGGCAGAGAGGCCACAAUGAAUGGAGCAGAAAAGAAAAUGAAGACAAACUGACAACUAAUGACAGAAAAAGAGCUCAACAGAAAUGAAGCAGAGAAGAUUGGAUGAUAGGAACAGCUAUUUUGGAGAAAAUGACAUCUUGUUAGGUAAUACUGAUUUAGUAUCAUCUUGUUUUGAAGUCUCAUCAAGCUUUUGUUCUUCUGUCUCCAUUGGUCUAAACAGGUGGUAUCUUAUUGAAUUUUAUUAUAUAUGAUAGUAUAAUAUAAGCAAAACCUUUUAUAGACAAGGAGAUUAUGCAGACACCAUUGUUCAUUUUCUGUUAGUUGAUUCUAAAUACCCUGUAAUACUGUCAUUCUCUUAAAUGGUUUUACAUUGUUUUGAUAUAUUUGAUGCUACAGUAUAUGAAUUUAUACUCAAAGAUUUCAAGGAAAGAGACAAUAUGGUAACUACUUUUAUGUUGGGAUUAUCUUGUGGUGAAACACUAUUUUGCUUAAAUGGUUAUGUCUUGAUCUGUGCUGUUUUGCUGUUAUGCCCUCUUUUAUCUCAAUCUCCAUUUUAUUAUUUACUUUUUUAAUUUUAUCCUUUUAAUUAAGGGAAAAAUAAAAAAAAUAGCAGGAUAUAUUAUAGUGACCCACUUUGACUUUCCAUUAUCUUGAUUUAAAGCUCUGUAUUGCUCUCACCAUCUUGUUUUGACUGAUGUUCCUCUAUUCUGUUUUGCUUGAUAGUACCAGGUUCGAAAGUUUAGGCAACAUCUGUGAAAAUAGUGGGAUUCAUUAUGACGCCCAUUCUGGUUGACUAUUAUCUACUUUUGAAGACCUAUAAUGUCUCCAAUGUUUUGGUUUUGUUCUUUACUGUUUUGUUCAAUUUUAUUAGAACUGAUGAUAUAGGCAAUUCUUUUUGAGAUAGCGGGAGGCAUUAUGGUAACCAUUGUUGAUCACCUUGUAUUAUGUUUUUACAUUAUCUAUUAUAUCCACCCUUUUGAUUUGACUGACUCUGUUCUGUUAUGUCACAUUUGGUUCUACUUUCUUCCAAAAAAGUAAUAAGAAUUGUGGGAGCAACAAAACCCAAAAUGUGUAAAUGUCAUUGUACAAAAGAGAGGAAAAGAAAGUGCUCUAAAUAAUAUAACUGCAUGUAUAUUUAAGUGUAUAAGAUAGAUAAUUAUAUUACUGAGUUUUGUUGGAUCAUUGAACAGAACAGUUUGCAGUCUCACUGUUGGAAUGUCCACUUUAUUAGCUUUAAUUUUGUAACUUGAACAAUUAUUUCUAAGAUGACAAUAUGUAAUCCAUUAACUGGUGAUUUCCUACUGUUUUUUUCUGUAAAUCUGUAUAACUUGUACCCUUUCUCUGCUUUUUUUUUUUCUUUUUCUCCUUAAAUAAAAUUAAAAAAAAAAAAAAAAAAAAAGAACAGACUGUUCCAGGCCAAGGGGCACUCAGCUCCAGAGUCACAAGGAACCUUAUGGACCAGUGACCACGGACUAAGACACAUGACCUCACCCCGGAGCAGUUUGCUUCCAGCUUCCUCGUUCUCUGUCUCCUUCUGAGCCCUCUGUUGUGGAGGAGAGCUGUGUCCUGCACCUUGGAGUCAGUGAUCCCUCUUGGGGCUCCAUCUCAAAUGAAGCCUGUCAGGGUUGGGAUUUAGCUCAGUGGCACAGCGCCUGCCUGGCAGGUGCGAGGUCAUGAGUUCCUUCCUUGGUACCUAAAUAAAUAAAAAAAAAUGCAAGUCUGUCCUUGCUGCAA